UACGUAGGGUCCGAGCGUUGUCCGGAAUUAUUGGGCGUAAAGGGCUCGUAGGCGGUUUGUCACGUCGGGCGUGAAAACUCAGGGCUCAACCCUGAGCGUGCGUCCGAUACGGGCAGACUAGAGGUAUGCAGGGGAGAACGGAAUUCCUGGUGUAGCGGUGGAAUGCGCAGAUAUCAGGAGGAACACCGGUGGCGAAGGCGGUUCUCUGGGCAGUAACUGA
rnacentral:rRNA from 1 species